UGGAUUUGCUCUGAGCAGGGUGAAGAAAUGGCUGUGAUAUUUAUACCAUACCCAGUAGAAGUCUGGGUUCAUUGGUAAGGGGUACAAAGCUUGCUACCUUCCAACGAAGACGUACCCCACAUGU
ensembl:snoRNA